rnacentral:rRNA from 1 species
GUCUACGGCCAUACCACCCUGAACGCGCCCAAUCUCGUCUGAUCUCGGAAGCUAAGCAGGGUCGGGCCUGGUUAGUACUUGGAUGGGAGAAAGCUGAUUUGUUGGGU